CAGGCGUCUCUUUGCAUCCCUUGCGAGAUCUCUUCCAGGAACGAAAGGAAGCAUCUUGGUUGUUAGAUCCGAUGGAAGGAUCUCCGGUAGGCUCAGUGGAAGGAAUUUGAUCACAAAUGCCGUUGCAACGAAGGCCGAUACUCCUACAAGUUCCACCGACUCUAAACCU